AUUGAACGCUGCCGGCAUGCUUUACACAUGCAAGUCGGACGGCAGCACAGAGAAGCUUGCUUCUUGGGUGGCGAGUGGCGAACGGGUGAGUAAUAUAUCGGAACGUACCGAGUAAUGGGGGAUAACUAAUCGAAAGAUUAGCUAAUACCGCAUAUUCUCUGAGGAGGAAAGCAGGGGACCUUUGGGCCUUGCGUUAUUCGAGCGGCCGAUAUCUGAUUAGCUAGUUGGUGGGGUAAAGGCCUACCAAGGCGACGAUCAGUAGCGGGUCUGAGAGGAUGAUCCGCCACACUGGGACUGAGACACGGCCCAGACUCCUACGGGAGGCAGCAGUGGGGAAUUUUGGACAAUGGGCGCAAGCCUGAUCCAGCCAUGCCGCGUGUCUGAAGAAGGCCUUCGGGUUGUAAAGGACUUUUGUCAGGGAAGAAAAGGCUGUUGCUAAUAUCGACAGCUGAUGACGGUACCUGAAGAAUAAGCACCGGC
rnacentral:rRNA from 1 species